rnacentral:rRNA from 1 species
UACGUAGGUGGCAAGCGUUAUCCGGAAUUAUUGGGCGUAAAGCGCGCGCAGGCGGUUUCUUAAGUCUGAUGUGAAAGCCCACGGCUCAACCGUGGAGGGUCAUUGGAAACUGGGAGACUUGAGUGCAGAAGAGGAAAGUGGAAUUCCAUGUGUAGCGGUGAAAUGCGUAGAGAUAUGGAGGAACACCAGUGGCGAAGGCGACUUUCUGGACCGACACUGACGCUGAGGCGCGAAAGCGAGGGAAGCAAACGGG